AUACGGAGGAUGCGAGCGUUAUCCGGAUUUAUUGGGUUUAAAGGGAGCGUAGGCGGGAGCUUAAGUCAGCGGUUAAAUGGUGCGGCUCAACCGUGCCCUGCCGUUGAAACUGGGUUUCUUGAGAGUGCAAGAGGCGGAUGGAAUUCAUGGUGUAGGCGUGGAAUGCUUAGAUAUCAUGAAGAACUACGAUUGCGAAGGCAGUCCGCUGGGGCACGUCUGACGCUGAUGCUCGAAGGUGCGGGAAUCAAACAGGAUUAGAUACCCUGGUAGUCCGCACGGUAAACGAUGAUUACCCGCUGUCGGCGGUAGACAGUCGGCGGCCAAGCGAAAGCGAUAAGUAAUCCACCUGGGGAGUACGCCGGCAACGGUGAAACUCAAAUGAAUUGACGGGG
rnacentral:rRNA from 1 species